CAUUCAUCCAGAAGGGUGAAGGGAGCAGGCCCGAUGAAGCCCUGGCAACCGCCGUCGGCACCCCCCGACGGAAAGGUGCCCCAUCCUGCCUCGACUGCUGUCGAGGAAAGAUGAGUG
rnacentral:ncRNA from 18 species